GCCUGAUGGGCAAAAUCAAAGCUUAGAGAAAACUAGCUAUGAAUUUUCUGACCAAAAUCAUCUCAGGACCUCUAACGCAGAGCACAUAGAGGUUUUCAUCGUUCAGAAUUUCGAUCAAACAGAAGAGGUUAUCUUUCCUACAGUUUUGUGGGUGGUUUUCAGGAUACCUUACAAUGGCAGGGAGACAUCGUGUUCCACGUGAAGCGAUUAAUGACCGGCGCGGCUACCCUCUUGAAGGACCUUUUGGUCGAGGUCCUCCAAUGCGACCACUUCCUCAUCCUGCAGUGUUGGAGGAAGAACUUGAAAUGCAACAUGCUGAAAUUCGAAGACUCUUGGCUGAUAACCGGAGGCUGGUUGAGGACCGAAUGACAUUGCAGCGUGAGCUUGGUGCUGCCAAGGAGGAAAUUCAUAGGAUGAAUGUUGCCUUUUCAGAUAUUCGUGCUGAAGAAGAAUUGCAAUCAAGGGAGCUCUUUGAGAAAGGCAGGAAAUUGGAGGCUGAUCUUCGGGCCACUGAGCCCUUGAAAAAUGAGGCUAAACAACUUCGUUCUGAAGUUCAGAAGCUGACUAAUGUUAGGAAGGAACUUUCCACUCAAGUUCAGACCCUCACACAGGACGUUGCGAGGUUGCAAUCUGAUAAUCAACAGAUUCCUCUACUAAGGGCUGACAUUGAUGGUCUGCAUCAGGAGCUUAUGCAUGCUAGAAAUGCAAUCGAUUAUGAGAAGAAGGCGAAUGUUGAGCUUAUGGAACAAAGACAGGCAAUGGAGAAGAACCUAGUUUCUAUGGCUCGUGAAGUUGAGAAACUACGCGCAGAUCUUGCUAGGACAGAUGGUAGACCAUGGGGUGCAGGUGGACAAUAUGGGAUUAAUUUCAGCAGCCCAGAGGUUGCUUUUCCUGCUGCAUAUGGAGAUGGCUAUGGGAUGCGCAUGGGUGUUGCUGAUAAAGGGCCUAUGUAUGGGCCAGGUCCAGCUUCAUGGGGAGGACCUGAAAAGCCUCGCAUGACUCGUCGUUGAAAUCUGGAUGAUUAUGAUUUCAAUGACAGAGUAUACAUGCCACCUUUGGUUGCUCAUCAUCAGCAUAGAUGGUCAAGUCAUCCAUGUGUGCACGCCAGAUCAGUGGCCAUUUUUUUUUCUGAAUACAUCAUGAAAGGAUAGUUGUGGCGGAUUGUCAAGUGAGAAAUCAGGUUUGUCUCACAUAUUCGAAGUGAGAAUAGAAGCAAAUGUGAUUUAUAUGAGAGGUUUGUUUGACUUGGAGAUUGGUAGAAGAAAAUAUCUUUACCCAGUUGUUGAAAUUGUUGAUUAUAGAAGAGUCUAUGCAACCUAUUAAUUUUGUUGGAGGUUUAAGUUACCUGCAACGCGAAUCCCAACCUGUAGAUCUAUCUCAAGUUUAGCAGGUGAAGAAGUGGUUUGUCAAGGAUGUAUCCUGCAGUUUGUCAUUUCUGCUAGUGAGGGUAUGUUGCCAUCUCGUUUACAUGAGUCAAGGUAAUUUGUAGGAUGUUAAGCUUCUUUUGAAGUUAAAAAAAAAAUUUAUUCAACUGAUUUUUCGACAAUAGAUAAAUGAAGGAAUAAUGUCUCUUGUUGCAGCUUGUGAAUAUGGAUUUCACCUUCCUCUUAAUGUACUGGUCGAAUAGGAGAUUGAAUUGGCCGUAUUUCAGGCAUCAUAUUUUCAUACUCAAUUUUGAAGUUUUAGGGCUUGUAUUGUCACUUGUUGAAUAGGAGAUUGAAUUGGCCGUUUUCCGGGCAUCAUAUUUUCAUGCUCAAUUUUGAAGUUUUAGGGCUUGUAUAGAAUCAGUAACUUCAAAUUGCUGUCAACGAGCACAUUGGUGGUGUUGGAGUAUUGAGGCACCCCUGCAUUUUGCUGCAAAACAAUAAAAUGAUGGCAAGUGCCAUUUUUCUCACAUGUAUUCAUCUCAUAUAAUGUUCACAAUCUUUUUAAUUGUCUUCAAUUGCAAAUUCACCAAGGACCCAUUUGGUUUUAUUCUGUA